rnacentral:rRNA from 1 species
GGAUGCAUAUACCAGCACUAAUGCCGGAUCCAUCAGAACUCCGAAGUUAGCGUGCUUGGGCGAGAGUAGUACUAGAUGGUGACCCCCUCGGGAAUCCUCGUGUUGCAUCCC